UUGAAAAGUCCAGUUCCAGUUGUAUAUACAGCUCAUGCUUGUGAAUCGAAUCCAUGGGCUGUAAUGUUGUCUAUACUCCUGUGUGUAUGUGCAUUUCUGAGCUGUGUGUGUGUGUGUGUGUGUGUGUGUGUGUGUGUGUGUGUGCGUGUGUGUGUGUGUUUUUCAGGUGUUUUGGGCCUAAAUGGAUGGGGAGUGACUUACACCCCUGAGACAAUCUGUGGCUUAAAGGGGUCUUCAGUAGACAUGCGCUGCACUUACUCAUAUCCCACAUCUUACUCAGUGUGGGAAACAUUCUGGUUCAUUCACCAGAACCCUAUACCGGAGCUUGUUGACCUGUCCCUGGAUCCAGAGUACUCUGACCGUGUGGAGUACCUUGGGAAUCGUAACAAUGACUGCACUUUUAGAAUAAAACAACUGAUAGAAAGUGAUUCAAAAACAUAUCACUUCAGAUUCCUCACCUACCAUGCUGAUGGAGGAUAUUCUGGCCAACCUGGUGUCACAUUGGACGUUACAGCUUUACAGGUGAUAAUGUAUCCUGACACAGUAACAGGGACAGAGUGUAACACUGACCUGUAGCACCACCUGCACUCUGACUGGCCGCCCAGCCUUCACCUGGUACAGGGACGGAUCUCCUCUGUCCUUCACCACCCAGACACACCAGCUCACAGCCAGCAGUGAAGAUGGAGGCAGAUACUCCUGUGCUAAAGGCUAUGAGGAUCUCCCCUCACCUGUAGUGGCUCUUACUGUGAACUAUCGUACUAACAGUGUCCUCACUGUAUCAGUGAGCCCCUCUGCUGAAAUAGAGAAGGGCAGUUCAGUGACUCUGACCUGCAGCAGCAAUGCCAACCUACAACUGCACGGGCCGAACUGGUAUAAGAUGAUUAGAAAUUAUCAUUCAUGGACAACUUCAGGAUGGACCUACACAAUUAGAAAUUUCAAUACCUGGGAGGCUGGAGAGUACUACUGUGAGGCGUGGCAUGAAUAUAGGACAUUUACAUCUCAUGUACAUCUCAAAUUGCUGUGUUUGAAGUUUAAAAUAACGCCCGACUCAGUGGCAGAGGGAGAAAUGGUGACACUGACCUGUGAAAACAACUGCCCUUCCAGUUACAGAAGCAGCAUUGAGUUCCGCAAAAACGGACAGCGUCUAUCUAACAAUAACCCAAAUGAGUUCAGAGCCAGGAGUGAACAUGCAGGAAACUACUCCUGUGGUCAAAGCAAUAAUCUGCAUUUCUCUUCCAAUGUAGUGUUUCUCCGAGUGCAAUAUCCUCCUCAGGGCACCACAGUGUCAGUCUCUGGUGAAAUAGUGUAGGGCAGUUCAGUGACACUGACCUGCAGCAGCGAUGCCAACCCACCAGUGAACAGAUACACCUGGUUGAAGGGGAAUAGAACUGUAUCCUCAGAGACAGGAGGACCAGAGGCAAGCUACACCAUUAAACACACCACACAGCAGGAUGCUGGAGAGUACUACUGUGAGGCAGGGAAUUGGAUUGAGACACACA